UUAGUGGAGCUACGUCUGUUUCACUUGGAACUGAGUGAAAUCCUUGGCUUGGGUGAGCUGAAAGUGCUGAAAACACUCGAGAUUUCCGAAUGCUCGAAUUUAGACAAUCUUGGAGGCCUUGAAAAUCUCGUCCUUCUGGAGGAGUUGACUCUGACGCGUUGCGGUAGGCUUGAGAGCCUACCCAGUCUAUCAAACUUGAUCAAGUUAGACAAGCUGGUGAACCCUGAGUGUCCGUUCCUCUCCGAGGUUCAGGGUCUCGGUGAACUGGGGCGGUCUUUGGUACAUCUGGAAGCUAGUGGAUGUGGCAGGCUGGCCAUCCAGGGCCUCGAGUCACUGG
rnacentral:lncRNA from 1 species